UACAGAGGGUGCAAGCGUUAAUCGGAAUACUGGGCGAAAGCGUGCGCAGACGGUUGCGUAAGUCAGAUGUGAAAGCCCCGGGCUCAACCUGGGAGUUGCAUUUGAGACUGCGUAGCUAGGGUGCGGAAGAGGGAAGCGGAAUUUCCGGUGUAGCGGUGAAAUGCGUAGAUAUCGGAAGGAACACCAGUGGCGAAAGCGGCUUCCUGGUCCAGCACCGACGUUCAGGCACGAAAGCGUGGG
rnacentral:rRNA from 1 species